GUUCAUUUGCUUAGAUCACUAUAAUUUCUCGGUGGGUAGGCCCCUAUGGAAAUAGUUGAAGCCUCAAGUUCACCUGAUGCUUAUACUUAAAAUCAACUAUAAUAGUACUAAAUAGAGAUAAAUAGACAUUUACUCUCAGUGGAUGUUCUUAGUGUUGGUGAUGAUAUUUUCUUCAGAAUAAUACUAGGAUUGCACAAGUAUAGUUGCAUACAUUUCAAACAGAGAAUGGUUGGCAAGUGCUAGAAUGAACUUCUAAUUUUAAUUGAAUUUAUGCUUUUAUAAAAAAUCAAAUUGAUGAAUAAAAUCAAUUUUUAACUGAAAAUUUCGUUGAUGAUUCGAUACGGGGGGAAAGGCUCGGACAUCUUUUGAACCUAGAAACACAAUUAUGGUUGCCAAACUCUGACAGUUCCGAGGAGAGAAUCAGGAGGCUUGGAUAGUUCAAGCUAUACAUUAUUUCGAUUUCUAUAAAAUUGAGGAAGAUCAAAAGCUUAAUGUGGUGUCGCUCUACCUUGAUGGUGAAGCAUUACAAUGGUACCCGUGGUUAUUUAGGAAUAAUCAAUCAAGUGAUUGGUUGAAUUUUGCUGAUAAGAUGAAAAUUUGAUUUAAACAGAAAUGAUAUGAGUCUGCGGCAGAGUGAAGCGCCAAUCUCGAACAGGUAACCUACGUGACUGAGUACCAAAAUCAUUGUGAGGAUAUUUUGUCGAGCUUUGGUGAGUCCGAUGUACUCUUCCCAGGCCACACAUAUGUUCAUCCAUGUUGGAGCAACAUAACCAACUCUCUUAUACCGUAAUAUCGUGACCAAUCAUAAUACAAAAGCAAUACAAAUGUGUGUAAGGUGUGUGAUUAGUUGUCCGAUAGGUACAAAGACUCAUAUUAUCUCUCAGUCUCGCUAUGUUCAGCAAGCUUAUUGAACUUUCCAUUCCAGAUGGGUAUGUCGAGUCAAGUACACGGUGUGCUAUUAUAUUUGUAUCUUUUACAAUAUCAGUAAUGUAGCAAGUUUCCGCAACAGGUAAAAUAAAUGUAUAUUUGCAACAAUCAAUGGAGUAUUAGUCAACACUUAUUUAUACAAUGAAUGUUGUUUUUACUACUGCGAGAUUUUUAUUUUUUCUUACUAGUUGGACUACCUGUGAAGCUACUAACUUAGUACAUUGAUACUCAAAGAGGUAAUACCUUGUUAAUGGUGAAUAAAUUCACCUGCAAUCAUUAGAAAAAUAGAAAUAUGACUCAUUUCAUAUCUUGAUCCAAAUUAUCUUGACCAAAGAUCAUAGUUUCAUCUACUUUUAUUGUUACCAGAUAUGCCGAAGCUGAAGCAUUACGAUAACUUACGCAACUCAUUUACUCAUCAUCUAGUUCACAAGGUUUGGCACAUUCUUCAUCAAGAAAUGAAUCAUUUGACAUCAUCAACUCCGCGAUCUGCGUUGACAUCGGUAUAUUGACAGUUGAUUUCGCUGCUAAAGAAUGAAAAUGAUAUUGUGUACUAACUCAAGGAAGAUGCGUGGCUAGCUGCUUAAACUUUUUUUGUUUAGGUAAAGUUUGACUAAUACAAGUAUUGUCAAGCAACCAGUCACCUGGCGCCUAUUCAGCAGGACUUGGAUUGGCAUUCUUUAGUAUCAACGAUUUUUACGAGUAAAGAAAAUGAAUAGCAUACCAGCUCAUAGUUGCAUAAGAAGUGGGCUAACAACCUUUAUCAAGGAGUUAUGCUUUCAUUACCCGUGCCUCUAAAGCCAGCUGAUGUUAGUGACAAUAAUUGUAGUGAAACUAGUUGAAGUUCCAUAAACCGAUCCUAUCUUGAGUUUGGGUGCUAUUGAUUUGAAGUUUAAGCAAGUUUUGUAGUGAUUUGAAGUUAAAGCAAAUUUUAUAGUGAUAUGAAGUUUCUUGUAAUCGUAAUGGUUGAAACAAAUGAUAUGUUUUUGUUCACUUCAUGAUAUACUUUUGUGUUGAAUAUUGUAUUAUUUCUUAA